CUUAGAGAUCGGCUUUAACAUUGGGCGAUGAAGCGCUUCAUCUUACGACUUAGCAGUCGCGAGAGGGAGAGGAUCUGAAACCCUCAUCUGAGGGCAGUGGGGAACGAUCAGAUCUCGUCGAUUCCUCCUCCGAUUCUUAUAAAAUUCCGUCCGGCUUCGCCAAGAUCGUGGUUCUUUUUCUCUCUAUCUAGAAAAUUGGAAAGAAACAAAAGUGGAAGAGUAGAUUUGUACUGCACAGUAUCAUCUGCCUUUGGUUUUUGAGCCUAGCAGCUUACAACAUCUUGGAAACAAAUAGUGAGCUUUCUUGUCUGGGGCUGCACUCUGUUGCUGGUGUCCUACAAUAUUCUAUGUGGGCAGGCCCUACCUUUAGUUCUCAUUUGACUACAAAAAGGGCACAAGAUGAAAUGUAAAAAAAGAGAGAAAAGAAAAGAUAUCUGCUUGAAUGUGAUGAGAAAGACUUGAGAAUCUCAGCUAUAACUUUGACUUGGUAGUAUAUAUAGUUUAAUGCUUGUUUGAAAAAUCAAAAGAAGCUUGACAGGAAUUUAUAAUAUUUAUCAGCUGCAUUCUGAUUCUGGUGACCUUUUUAGGGGUAGGCCCGAAGACUGAAGAGAACAAGAUUUAACCACCUGUAGUCUUGUAGCAUAUCAUAAUAAUCUCCUAGUUCAGUUCUUCUGUUAA